UAGCGGCGGACGGGUGAGUAACGCGUGAGGAAUCUGCCUCGCACAAGGGGAUAGCCUCGGGAAACCGGGAUUAAUACCCUAUGAUACUUACACUGCGCAUGCAGAGUAAGUUAAAGAAUAUCGGUGUGAGAUGACCUCGCGUCCCAUUAGCUGGUUGGCAGGGUAAAAGCCUACCAAGGCGACGAUGGGUAGCCGGCCUGAGAGGGUGAACGGCCACAUUGGAACUGAGACACGGUCCAGACUCCUACGGGAGGCAGCAGUGGGGAAUAUUGCACAAUGGAGGGAACUCUGAUGCAGCAACGCCGCGUGAGCGAAGAAGGUUUUAGGAUCGUAAAGCUCUGUCCUAGGGGAAGAUAAUGACGGUACCCGAGGAGGAAGCCCCGGCUAACUACGUGCCAGCAGCCGCGGUAAUACGUAGGGGGCGAGCGUUGUCCGGAAUUAUUGGGCGUAAAGGGUGCGUAGGCGGCUGAACAAGUCAGAUGUGAAAGGUUAAGGCUUAACUUUAAUAAGCAUAUGAAACUGUUCAGCUUGAGUUAAGGAGAGGGGAGUGGAAUUCCUAGUGUAGCGGUGAAAUGCGUAGAUAUUAGGAGGAAUACCAGUGGCGAAGGCGACUCUCUGGACUUAAACUG
rnacentral:rRNA from 1 species